rnacentral:rRNA from 1 species
CAGCAGCCGCCACGGUAAUACGGAGGGUGCAAGCGUUAAUCGGAAUUACUGGGCGUAAAGCGCACGCAGGCGGUCUGACAAGUCAGAUGUGAAAUCCCCGGGCUUAACCUGGGAACUGCAUUUGAAACUGUCAGGCUGGAGUCUUGUAGAGGGGGGUGGAAUUCCAGGUGUAGCGGUGAAAUGCGUAGAGAUCUGGAGGAAUACCGGUGGCGAAGGCGGCCCCCUGGACAAAGACUGACGCUCAGGUGCGAAAGCGUGGGGAGCAAACAGGAUUAGAUACCCCAGUAGUCCCUGUCUCUUAUAC